AGCGGAAGCUGCUAACGUGGGAAUCGGUGCAUAAGGAGAACUUUCUGCUGGCACGCGCUAGGGACAAGCGGGAGAGCGACUCCGAGCGUCUGAAGCGCACGUCCCAGAAGUCCAGCAGUGUAGCCGCGUCCUGGGGUGGGUGGCCGAGGCCCUGAGCCGCUCUGCCUUGCUGCCCCCAGGUGGGCCGCCACCCCCUGACCUGCCUGGGUCCAAAGGUCAGUGUGUAGCAUCAGCCUGUGCAUCUCCAGCCUCUGUUCCUGUAUUUUUGCGUGUUUUUCUCUCUCGGCACCUUUCCAGUGUCCCUGGGUCACUCUCUUGGUCUCCUUUGAGCCUUUUGUACUCUCGCCUUCGUCUUUCUUCUUUUUUGCCAGUCUCCCAGUUUUUCUGUCUCUCCCCUUCCCUGCCAAUCACCUGCUCUCUCUUUUCUCUCUUCCCCCAGACUGAGCCCUGCUGGCGGACUUCAAGGAGAAGCCCCCACAGGGGAUUUUGCUCCUAGAGUAAGGCUCAUCUGGGCCUCGGCCCCCGCACCUGGUGGCCUUGUCCUUGAGGUGAGCCCCAUGUCCAUCUGGGCCACUGUCAGGACCACCUUUGGGAGUGUCAUCCUUACAAACCACAGCAUGCCCGGCUCCUCCCAGAACCAGUCCCAGCCUGGGAGGAUCAAGGCCUGGAUCCCGGGCCGUUAUCCAUCUGGAGGCUGCAGGGUCCUUGGGGUAACAGGGACCACAGACCCCUCACCACUCACAGAUUCCUCACACUGGGGAAAUAAAGCCAUUUCAGAGG
rnacentral:lncRNA from 1 species